UGAGGAAUAUUGGUCAAUGGAGGCAACUCUGAACCAGCCAUGCCGCGUGAAGGAUGACUGCCCUACGGGUUGUAAACUUCUUUUUUACGGGACGAAACUGACCUACGUGUAGGUUACUGACGGUACCGUAUGAAUAAGCAUCGGCUAACUCCGUGCCAGCAGCCGCGGUAAUACGGAGGAUGCAAGCGUUAUCCGGAUUUAUUGGGUUUAAAGGGUGCGUAGGCGGGAUAAUAAGUCAGUGGUGAAAUACUGUCGCUUAACGAUAGCAUUGCCAUUGAUACUGUUGUUCUUGAGUAUAGUUGAGGUGGGCGGAAUGUGUAGUGUAGCGGUGAAAUGCUUAGAGAUUACACAGAACACCGAUUGCGAAGGCAGCUCACUAAACUGUAACUGACGCUGAGGC
rnacentral:rRNA from 1 species